GGUCUUCCUCACACAACAAAGAUGGCGGCGCGCUGUUGGAGCCUGAUGAGGUCGACAUUGCAAGGCUGCAAGUCCGCUGGAGUUAUACGAUUGAGAGUUCCCAUGUUCCCAGACAUAUUGACCAAGAAAAUAUCAACUUUUCAUUUUCCAUUGGUCUUAGUGCAUGGUGUAACUAAAGGAGCGUCGAGCUUUAAAUAAGAAAAAUAUCAAAACUCUCUGUUGAAAUUUGAGCGAGAUGCUUAUGGUCUAAUCCAAUUCCAAUAUUUAUGCCAAGCUUAAGACCCGGAGAUCGACUGAAUGGGAAAAAAAAAGGGUUGUAUCAGCUGUCAAACAGGACGUUGUGGCGAGAAUCUCACUUGGAGCAGAGAGUUUGUCUCAGACUGCAGGAGAAUGUUUUACACAGCAGAGCCUUACAUUACGGACAUCAUACUUUACAAACCAUCACCAAGACGGAGCCUCCAAGAGUUAUGAACACACAGAAAUCAGCUGAACCUGAAAAUAAAACCAACCAACAAAAGAAAGAAGAGGAAGAGGAGGAGGAGGAAGAAGAUAACAGGCCUGAAUAUAUGCCCAAAGGAAAGGCCAAAAAUCCCAUGAUGAAGAUUGGAUAUGCAUGGUUAGUAUAGCUCAUAUCUGCCUUCUGCUUCAGACAACAAAAGCAGGGAAACGACAGUGCUGAAAAUCUAGAGAUGCAGUCAGAUUCAGAGAUUAACCUUUCUAUCAAGGGAUGAUUGGCCUGCCUUCUGGGAUCAUUGGCUUUAUUCUGGCAAAGAGACAAGUGGACAAGAACCGACUGAAACAGCUGAAAAUCCGACAGAGGAUGAAGAGAGCCAACGAGGGAGAUUAUGAAACAAACCGAUAUAAAGCAGCCACCGGGAUGGAGUAAAGCUUGAUUUCUGUAAAAGACAAAUGGCUUCAUUGGGCACUUAUGAUUGGGUUGCCAUGGAAACCGUGAACUGCGUAUAUAAGUACAUUCUAGAAAGCAGGCAUUUAUUACGGCGGACCUGUUGAUCUAAUGAUUGUGGAGCUGAAGACUUUGGUUUUGGGGUUUGCGACAAAUAAAUGAAGCGUAAAUGAAGUACUUAAUUGAAUUAAGGAUUUCAGUGUUGCCUGUUAGACAUUGUGUACACAUUUCGAAGCAACUGCAAGGGGGAAAAUACAGAAAAACUGAAUUAAAAAUCUAUUAAAUAACCGAAAAA